AUGCGGAUCCAAUCAAAUGGGGAGGCAGAUUUUGUUGCUUGGCAUUAUGAAAAGUCAGGGUUGUUCUCAGUUAGGAGUGCGUACAAGUUAGCGCUCACCCUUAAGGAUAACAAAGAGGAUGAGGGACAAUCCAGUGAGGCGGUAGGUACGGAGAGGAAAAUUUGGAAUAUUAUUUGGAAUGCAAACAUUCCUCAGAAGAUUCGUAUUUUUGCAUGGAGGGUUGCUUCCAAUAGCUUGGCCGUACAGGUUAAUAGAGUGGCGCAUCAUCAAGCCUCUGUUAGUACGUGUUCUAUUUGUGGCAUGGAGGAUGGAAAUACGUUCCAUGCGCUUGUCUUGUGCCCGAAGGCGCGUGCGCUUCGCAUGGCCAUGAGGAACAUUUGGGCUCUACCUGAUGAGGAGGUUUUCAGAUAUACGGGGUAUGAUUGGUUUAUUGUUCUCCUGAGUCAAUUAAACCCCGUAAUGCGAGACCAAAUUAUAUUCUUAUUCUGGAGGACCUGGCAUUUGAGAAAUGAUUUGAUCUUUGGUAAAGGAAAGAAAUCA
rnacentral:rRNA from 1 species